GAGUUUGAUCCUGGCUCAGGAUGAACGCUAGCGGCAGGCUUAAUACAUGCAAGUCGAGGGGCAGCAGCUUUAUAGCAAUAUAGAGGCUGGCGACCGGCAAACGGGUGCGGAACACGUACACAACCUUCCUUGAAUAGGGGGAUAGCCCAUAGAAAUGUGGAUUAAUACCCCGUAAUAUAGCGGUGUGGCAUCACACUGUUAUUAUAGUUUCGGCGAUUCGAGAUGGGUGUGCGGCUGAUUAGGUAGUUGGCGGGGUAAAGGCCCACCAAGCCUUCGAUCAGUAGCUGAUGUGAGAGCAUGAUCAGCCACACGGGCACUGAGACACGGGCCCGACUCCUACGGGAGGCAGCAGUAAGGAAUAUUGGUCAAUGGACGCAAGUYUGAACCAGCCAUGCCGCGUGAAGGAUGAAGGUCCUCUGGAUUGUAAACUUCUUUUAUUAGGGGGCGAAAAAAGGGUCUUUUUCUAGWUCACU
rnacentral:rRNA from 1 species